rnacentral:rRNA from 1 species
UACAGAGGGGGCAAGCGUUAUUCGGAAUUAUUGGGCGUAAAGGGCGCGUAGGCGGCUUUGCAAGUGGGGGGGUGAAAUCCCUCGGCUUAAACCGAGGAACUGCCUGCCAGACUGUGAGGCUUGAGACCGGGAGAGGUGAGUGGAAUUCCCAGUGUAGCGGUGAAAUGCGUAGAUAUUGGGAGGAACACCAGUGGCGAAGGCGGCUCACUGGACCGGAACUGACGCGUGAGGCGCGAAAGCGUGGGGAGCAAACAGG